rnacentral:rRNA from 1 species
AGUGAACGCUGGCGGUAGGCCUAACACAUGCAAGUCGAACGGCAGCACAGUAAGAGCUUGCUCUUACGGGUGGCGAGUGGCGGACGGGUGAGGAAUACAUCGGAAUCUACUUUUUCGUGGGGGAUAACGUAGGGAAACUUACGCUAAUACCGCAUACGACCUACGGGUGAAAGCAGGGGAUCUUCGGACCUUGCGCGAUUGAAUGAGCCGAUGUCGGAUUAGCUAGUUGGCGGGGUAAAGGCCCACCAAGGCGACGAUCCGUAGCUGGUCUGAGAGGAUGAUCGGCAACACUGAAACGGAGACACGGUCAAGACUCCUAGGGAGGGCAGCAGUGGGGAAUAUUGGAAAAGGGGGGAAAGCCUGACCCAGCCGUACCGGGUGGGGGAAAAAGGCCUUCGGGUUGUAAAGCCCUUUGUUGGGAAAGAAAAGCAGCAGGUUAAUACCCCGCUGUUCUGACGGUACCCAAAGAAUAAGCACCGGCUAACUUCGUG